CUAGGUAGCUCAGCUGGUUAGAGCACACGACUCAUAAUCGUGGGGUCGGGGGUUCAAGUCCCCCCCUCGCC
rnacentral:tRNA from 2 species